UGAAGAACUCCUCCAAUCAUGGGUAGGUAUUCAGUCGCGUGGCACAAGCACUUUCUCCCAGCACAGCUGAUUCUCAAAAGGAGGAGGACAUCUCAAUAGAUUCGAAUCCCCAAGAUCGACAUAUAUCCACCAGUUUAUUCCCCGUUUUAGCAGUUUUUAUAGGUAAGAGUAUUCUUACUUUCUUUAUAUGUAGCCUUGGACUUUUUAGGAACCCCCAUGCACACAUGGGUGUUCUGUGGGCCUGAUCAAGCCCCACCUUCAAUAAUUGUUUUAUGGCUAAAUGGGUUCCUGUGCUGUUAUAAUACUAAUCAAACCUCCUCGCGCUGUACCAUUCUGAUAACAUUUCAGGUGACUCUCUCUUGCCACAUUAUUCCAAUUAUUGAACAAAGCAAAAAUGUACCAUUGAAGUUUCUCUUCCGAUUAUAAAACACCUUUAUUCACAGGAAAUACAUCCCAGCACUGAAGGGCUUUCCUGCUAAGUAUAUUUAUGACCCAUGGAAUGCCCCAGAACAUGUCCAGAAGAUGGCCAAGUGCAUCAUUGGUAAGGACUACCCUCUUCCUAUGGUUAACCAUGCUGAGGUCAGUCACAUAAACAUGGAGAGAAUGAAACAGGUCUACCAACAUAUCUUCUUCAGGAUUUCCAGAACUGUUCCAGCAUAUCGCACAUCUCACCACCAUCCCUCUAAAGCUGCUAUGUUGUCCAAGGAGAAAAUGAUCCAACAUCAGCACCAUACUGCAGGAACAAGCACAGAGGAGGAUGGAUAGUGACUCUGCGAAGGGUAAAGAGUGAGGCAGAGCAGGGCAGAUAGCGAGACAAAGGGUGAUGGAGCAUGACGAAGAUUCAGAGUUAAAAGAGAGAGGUUAAGGGAGGAAAGUGUAUUAUAAAGAAAAGACUAACAAGAUUCUUGUUUUAUUUAUUUUUCUUAUUUUUUAUUUAUUUUUAUUUAUUUAUUUAUUUAUUUAUUUAUUUAUUUUUAUUUAUUUAUUUAUUUUUUUUUUUGCUGCAAAGGGAAUCAAAUCAAGAACUACAGUAGAUGCAGUACUGAAGCCUUGUAGGGGUUUGCUUGUGAGUCAGGAUAUUGAUGGCUUUUUCACUUUAGCAUCAUGGGAGACCCCCCUAUGGCUACAGUAACUACAGCUUAGAAUUAAGCAUACUAAAGUAGAUGACUUUGAGUUGUAUUAGUUAUUGUUGCGCCAUGAUAUGAAAGUAAAAUGAAAUACUCUGAUUUUAAAAUCAAAAGUGUCAUAUCAAAUGUGGUAAGAAUUAAUUAUGUUAUCAAGAGAGAGUGUAUCAUCUUAGCGCAUACUGAAAUCUCUCCAGUAUCAAAUGUAACAUUGUGUAGAACCCUGGGCAGCUAUUUACAUGGUAAUUGUUCACCUAAGUCUUUUACUAAGUGUUAGGUAGUACAGUUAUUGUGUGACAGUAGGUGCUGUCUUUAUACUUGCACUUAAGUUUAUUUUACAAAACUUUGCAAACUGUACAUGAGGAAAUAUCAAAAUUGUCAAGGUGUCCCAAGUUUAAGCAGACACACCUUUUUGGGAUUUUUAAUAAGUUGCAAAGUUUUAUGUAGAGGAAUACUUUAAGUGUUUUCGUUUAAAUAAUAGAAUUGUCAAGAGCACUUCAUAGUGUGUUUAUUUAAUUAUUUAUUUGUCUAUACCUUUAUGUUUGAAAACGUGCAAAUCCUUAUUUUAAAAUUGUACAUAGAUGUACACAAUAAUUGUGAAAAAAAGAUUUAUAUUUAGGAAAGAAAGACAGCAGAGCAGACUGGUAAGACAGGCAAGUGUAACUGAUACAAACUGGAAUGAAUUAUCUAUGUGGUAUACACCAUGAUUAUGAUAAUUGUUAUAACAUAUAAAUGCAGUCUUUCUAUUUUCAUAAAUCUUUUAAAUCUUCUUUUAGUAGACAUUGUCACUGACUCAUCCCCACCAUACAUUUUAGUUUAGACUUCAUAGUUGAAUUAUUUAUCCUGGAAAUGUCUUCUAGCUUUGUGCAUGCAAAUAGUCUACAGCUAGAAGACUGACCAAAUGAAAAAAAAUCAUUUUUAAACAGGUAAGCACUUCGUAGCAUUGAAGAAAUUCAUGAAAAUUUGUUAAAAGUUUGGGACCCAUGGAAUUUUUCUAGUUACAACUGCUAAGACCCAUUAUCCUUGUGAUGGGUAGAAGUGCAGUCACUUUAAAAUCCAAAAAAGGAAAUGUAAGACUCCGACGUUGAAAUGGAGUACUUAAAUUUUAGAAGGAAAUUUAUUCAUAUCUGUAUACUUUAGUCUAUUUUGUGUAUUACAGAGGUAUGUUAUCAUUUCCCACUAAGUGUUUUUAAUGUUUUGUGUAAAUAUAGUUACUUGUGAUUCAUUUAAAUUCCCAAGACAUUUUGAAUAAGGAUAGAUUCUUGAUUGCCUUCAAAUCUGCUAAGAACAAAUGGCAGUGAUGAAAAAGAUAUUAUGUGUAAUACAAACCCAUUAGAUCUAUUAAACAUUAUUCUUUA